GAUGAACGCUGGCGGCGUGCCUAAUACAUGCAAGUCGAGCGAAUGAUGAGGAGCUUGCUCCUCUGAUUUAGCGGCGGACGGGUGAGUAACACGUGGGUAACCUGCCUGUAAGAUGGGGAUAACUCCGGGAAACCGGGGCUAAUAUCGAAUAAUAAAAGAGGAAGCAUUUCUUCUUUUUGAAAGUUGGUUUCGGCUAACACUUACAGAUGGGCCCGCGGCGCAUUAGCUAGUUGGUGAGGUAACGGCUCACCAAGGCGACGAUGCGUAGCCGACCUGGAGGGGUGAUCGGCCACACUGGGACUGCGAGACGGCCCAGACUCCUACGGGAGGCAGCAGUAGGGAAUCUGCGGAAAUGGGCGAAAGCCUGACCGAGCAACGCCGCGUGAGCGAGGAAGGCCUUCGGGUCGUAAAGCUCUGUUGUCAGGGAAGAACAAGUACGAGAGUAACUGCUCGUACCUUGACGGUACCUGACCAGAAAGCCACGGCUAACUACGUGCCAGCAGCCGCGGUAAGAC
rnacentral:rRNA from 1 species